AAACUGCAAAAAUGGAAAAGUUAUAAAUAGUGUAACAAAUUCACAAAUGUUAGCAUUUGUGCAUAUAAUCACUAGUACGAAAAUGUAAAAUUGGUUCUUGCCAACAAUAGGCCAUAAGGUAUUUUAUAAUCAAUCAAAAGUCACAAAGCUCUCAAAGGAUGCUCAACGGAGCAGUCGCCCAAUACUUUCAAGUAGGAUAACAAUAAAAUUAUUACCACCUUUUAUUGUUGAUAAUGAAUAUUAAUUUAAGGACAUGAAGGGCUAUUUUAGACAUAAGGGACUGGGAUGAACUGCUUUUCUUUGAAGAAAAUAGAACAAAGCAGAGAACUUGAGCAGGAGAAGUG
rnacentral:misc_RNA from 1 species